rnacentral:lncRNA from 1 species
CACAAACUCUGAAAGCCAGGAGGGCUUGGAACACUGUGUUCCAAGACCUGAAAGAAAAUAACUGUCAACUAAGAUUUCUCUAUCCAGUAAAGUUAUUCUUUAAAAUCAAAGCAAAAACAAAAACCUCCCAAGAUAGGUGGAAACUAAAAGAAUUAAUGAAUACUAAGCCAGCACUACAGAACUUACUUAAAGAAAUAUUCCACACAGAAGAAAUUAAAAAACAAAUUCCAGAGCUCAUAAGCAAACCUCAUUUGAAGAGUAACCAAGCAAAUGAGAAAGAGGACCAAUUAAACUUUAGAAAUACAUAAAAAUACAUAAUUAAUAAACAUUUCUCUAAAAUAACAUUAAAUGCCAAUGGUUUUUAACUCUUCAAUUAAAGAUAUGGACUGGCAGAAUGGAUUUAAAAAUGAGGCCCAAUCAUAUGUUGUUUGCAAGAGACUCACCUUAUAGGCAAAAACAGCUAUAGGCUAAAAGUGAAAGGCUGGUAAUUGAUGUACCAUGAGAAGAGAGCCCUAAAACAAGCAGGAGUAGCAACACUCAUAACUUAUAAAGCAGACUUCAAACAAAAAUUUGUCAUAAGUGGCAAAGAAGUUUAUUUCAUAGUGGUAAAGGGAACAAUCCAACAAGAAUAUAUAAUGAUAGUUGUCCAGCGAACCUAGAUGGGGAGGAAUGAAGGGACAAGAGACACAAAAGGUGACAGCAAGACAGGGGUCUGAUCAAGCUGCAAACUUUUAUUGUUCACACAGGGGUAUUUAUAUGCUGGGGAUGGGGAAGCUCUCUAAUCAGCAAUUGCUGGAUGUGGGUGGUAAAACUGCCAGGUGCAAGAUGUCUGAUGAUCCUGAUAACUGCAGGAUGUUCCAGGGAGAUAGGUAGCUGCAGGAUGUCUCCCAGGGGGCUGUCAGGCUAUUCUUUGAAGGAGAAUUUCCUUCUAGUCCCUGACAGAUAGUAAAUAUUUGUGUUCCAAACAUGGGUGAAACUACAUUAAAGAGGCUCUACUCAAAUUAAAAUCACCCCAGUAGAAUAAUACUAGAUGAUCCCAAACACCUCUCUCACCAACAGAUAAGUCAUCCAGAUAUAAAUUUGGUAAAGACUCUUUGAACCUGGAAAAUAGCAUAACAUCAAAUAGAUUUAACAAACAUCUAUAGAAUAUUUCAUCUAACAAUAACUGAAUACAUUUUCUUCUUAGUGGUUCAUGGAACCUUCUCCAAGUAGACCAUAUUUUAUGCCACAAUGCAACACUUAGCAAAUACAAAAACAUCUGAUAUAGUUCCUUACAUCUUAUCAGAUUAUAAUGGGAUAAAAUUAGAAAUCAAUAUUAAAAAAACCAUACAGAAACUAUAACACAUAGCAAUUGAACAAUAUACUUUUGGAUAAUAAAUGGGUGAUAGAAUAAAAUAGAGGAGAAAUUAAAAAAUUCUUAGACUCAAACAAGAACAGUGACACAACAUACCAGAAUCUCCGGGAUACCAUGAGGGCAAUUCUAAGAGGUAAUUGUAUAAUUAUGUAUGCCUACAUAAGAAAAUCCUAAAGAGCCCAAAUAAACAACCAAAUGAUUAGUCUCAAGGUCCUUGAAAAAGAAGAACAAACCAAUUUCAAAACCAGUAGAAGGCAGUAAAUAAUUUAGAUUAGAGGCAAAAAAAAAUGAAAUUAAAAUUAAAAAAUAAUACAAUGAGUCAAUGAAGUGAAGAGCUGGUUCUUUGAAAAGAUAAACAAGAUUGAUAAAC